UCUUACUUAUUUUUACAUACAGGUGUGAGCCAUAUUUACUUACUUAUUUUUACAUACAAUACAAACACUUUAAAUAAAGUUGAAGAUCAUCUCCAUGGACCAAGUGAUCAAGCCGAACACCCAGGAUCCAGCUGUCAAGUUCAGGGUAGUCUCUGAGCUUCUCGCUGUGACUACAACAGGGUGAGCUUGCUAUCCUUGUGGCACAGGGCCUUUUGCAUUGUGGAAGAUGGAGCGGCUCAUAUAGUCCAUAAGUUUUGUGCGUAGCUGUGUACCCUGUCCCUGUGAGCUGGUUCUGCCUGGCACCUCGGUGACCUCGAGGAAAGAAGCUGAGAGACAGAGUCUUGCUUUGUCACCCAGGCUGGAGGGCAGUGGCACCAUCAUAGCUCACUGCAGACUCGAACUCCUGGGCUCAAGGGAUCCUCCUGCCUCGGCUUCCCAAAAUGACGGAGUCUUACUGUGUCACCCAGACUGGAGUGCAGUGGUAC
rnacentral:lncRNA from 1 species